UACAGAGGUCUCAAGCGUUGUUCGGAUUCAUUGGGCGUAAAGGGUGCGUAGGCGGCGCGGUAAGUCGGGUGUGAAAUCUCGGAGCUUAACUCCGAAACUGCAUUCGAUACUGGCGUGCUUGAGGACUGGAGAGGAGACUGGAAUUCAUGGUGUAGCAGUGAAAUGCGUAGAGAUCAUGAGGAAGACCAGUGGCGAAGGCGGGUCUCGGGACAGUUCCUGACACUGAGAGACGAAGGCCAGGGGAGCAAACGGG
rnacentral:rRNA from 1 species